rnacentral:rRNA from 1 species
UGCUACCUGGUUGAUCCUGCCAGUAGUCAUAUGCUUGUCUCAAAGAUUAAGCCAUGCAUGGUGAAGUAA